rnacentral:rRNA from 1 species
UACAGAGGUCCCAAGCGUUGUUCGGAUUCACUGGGCGUAAAGGGUGCGUAGGUGGUGAGGUAAGUCGGAUGUGAAAUCUCCGAGCUCAACUCGGAAAUGGCAUUGGAAACUACCUUGCUCGAGGGUUGGAGGGGGGACUGGAAUGCUUGGUGUAGCAGUGAAAUGCGUAGAUAUCAAGCGGAACACCAGUGGCGAAGGCGAGUCCCUGGACAACUCCUGACACUGAGGCACGAAAGCUAGGGGGAGCAAACAGG